rnacentral:rRNA from 1 species
GAUGAACGCUGGCGGCGUGCCUAAUACAUGCAAGUCGAACGAACGGACGAGAAGCUUGCUUCUCUGAUGUUAGCGGCGGACGGGUGAGUAACACGUGGAUAACCUACCUAUAAGACUGGGAUAACUUCGGGAAACCGGAGCUAAUACCGGAUAAUAUUUUGAACCGCAUGGUUCAAAAGUGAAAGACGGUCUUGCUGUCACUUAUAGAUGGAUCCGCGCUGCAUUAGCUAGUUGGUAAGGUAACGGCUUACCAAGGCAACGAUGCAUUGCCGACCUGAGAGGGUGAUCGGCCACACUGGAACUGAGACACGGUCCAGACUCCUACGGGAGGCAGCAGUAGGGAAUCUUCCGCAAUGGGCGAAAGCCUGACGGAGCAACGCCGCGUGAGUGAUGAAGGUCUUCGGAUCGUAAAACUCUGUUAUUAGGGAAGAACAUAUGUGUAAGUAACUGUGCACAUCUUGACGGUACCUAAUCAGAAAGCCACGGCUAACUACGUG